AUUGAACGCUGGCGGCAUGCCUUACACAUGCAAGUCGAACGGCAGCACGGGAGCAAUCCUGGUGGCGAGUGGCGAACGGGUGAGUAAUAUAUCGGAACGUGCCCAGUCGUGGGGAUAACGUAGCGAAAGCUACGCUAAUACCGCAUACGAUCUAUGGAUGAAAGCGGGGGAUCGCAAGACCUCGCGCGAUUGGAGCGGCCGAUAUCAGAUUAGGUAGUUGGUGAGGUAAAGGCUCACCAAGCCGACGAUCUGUAGCUGGUCUGAGAGGACGACCAGCCACACUGGGACUGAGACACGGCCCAGACUCCUACGGGAGGCAGCAGUGGGGAAUUUUGGACAAUGGGCGCAAGCCUGAUCCAGCAAUGCCGCGUGCAGGAUGAAGGCCUGGUUGUAACGU
rnacentral:rRNA from 1 species